rnacentral:rRNA from 1 species
UGCGGUGGUUUUAGCAGUGUGGACCCACCUCUAUCCAUUCCGAACAGAGAAGUUAAACGCACUUACGCCGAUGGUACUGACCGACCAGUUGGGAGAGUAGGUAGCCGCCGUUC